rnacentral:rRNA from 1 species
UGCCAGCCGCCGCGGUAAUACGGAGGGUGCAAGCGUUGUUCGGAAUUAUUGGGCGUAAAGCGCGUGUAGGCGGUUCGUUAAGUCUGAUGUGAAAGCCCGGGGCUCGGCCUGGGAAUGGCAUUCGAUACUGCAGAGCUAGAGUAUGGUAGAGGGAAGUGGAAUUUCCGGUGUAGCGGUGAAAUGCGUAGAUAUCGGAAGGAACACCGGUGGCGAAGGCGACUUCCUGGGCCAAUACUGACGCUGAGGCGCGAAAGCGUGGGUAGCAAACAGGAUUAGAUA